GAUGAACGCUGGCGGCGUGCUUAACACAUGCAAGUCGAACGAAGCACUUUAGUUGAUUUCUUCGGAUUGAUUCUAAAGUGACUUAGUGGCGGACGGGUGAGUAACGCGUGGGUAACCUGCCUCGUACAGGGGGAUAACAGUUAGAAAUGACUGCUAAUACCGCAUAACCCGCUAAGGUCGCAUGACCUGGACGGAAAAGNUUUAUCGGUACGAGAUGGACCCGCGUCUGAUUAGCUAGUUGGUGAGGUAACGGCUCACCAAGGCGACGAUCAGUAGCCGGCCUGAGAGGGUGAACGGCCACAUUGGGACUGAGACACGGCCCAGACUCCUACGGGAGGCAGCAGUGGGGAAUAUUGCACAAUGGGCGAAAGCCUGAUGCAGCGACGCCGCGUGAGUGAAGAAGUAUUCGGUAUGUAAAGCUCUAUCAGCAGGG
rnacentral:rRNA from 1 species